AGGCAGAUGUACGACUCUAAUGAAGAAGUGAAAAACAACAGUGCAAACUACAGUAGACAUAAAGCAAAACUCUGCUUCCACCCAGAGCUAGAGUGCAGCUACCAGCGAAGGCCCACAGUGGAGCCUGAACCCAGUCUGAGGGCUAAACUCUGCUGACAAAGACCUCCACUCUGAGAACAGGCAUGAGAGUGACCUGUGUGGCUUAUCAGGCCAGCUCAACGUAAGGAAGGUCAGCAGAGGAAGAAAAGCAAAGAAUCACAGGGAACAUGGAACCAGCUGACAGUGGGCCAGGAGGAAAGGAAUUCAUGUUGGAGUGUAGUUGGGCUCAGGCCUCGGGGAAUGCCAGGAGUACAGGUCAGUAGCCACAGGAUAGAGAU
rnacentral:lncRNA from 1 species